CGGCGGGAGGGGGCUGCGCUGCGCCGCGGCUGGGGGGGCGCGGGCGGCAGCGGCUCCCGGUACCUGGGCGGGGGGGAACGGGGAUGGAGGCGGCCCCGACCCGGUGAGCAUCACCUUCCUGCUCUGCAUCCCGGCACCGGGAGAGCCGCAGGCCCAGAAAUGUACCUUGUGCCUUGCAGGACCCAACUUUUCACAGGGAAGUUUUGUCCAGGGUUCCUUUUGAUUCUUUAGGUGCUUCUCCAACCAGCUUUUAAUCUGUUGUUCCCCAGCUGGGGCAAAGAACAAGGUGAGGGGAGGUAAAAAAGGUGCAGGGAGUUCUAAAGGAUCUGCCUUUUCACAGAUUCAAAACCAGACUUGUCGCGAAUACUAAAGAGAGGGGAGAGGUGAACUAUUUUCUGAUUGCUCUCUGUUUGAUUGUUUUGUGGCUAUUUCUAAGGACUGCAAUUAAAGUAAAUUGGGAUGUUGAAUGUGAUUGUUUUUAUAAUGGAAUGUUACUCUUUAAGUAGCUGUUCGGUAUCUACAUCUGCCCUGUAAAGAACGGGAAGACAGAAGGGUUACAUUGUAUUCAGGCUGUGGAGGGGAGCCUUGCCAAACCUUACUGAUUUGGAAAGAGAUUUCUGGAGGGAUCAUCUUGCAACUUCACCUGUGGAAACACAGCAGCUCAACUCUUUGAAUGUCCAUAACUCCAUCUGGGCUCUUUCCUGCUCUGCUUUUGUCCUAAGCAGAAUGGAUCCAAUGCCUUUCAGUUAAGAUCUUCCACUCAUUCUUUACAUUCGGGUAGGAACAACAAUCAACUCAGCCUUGCUUUAGCCACCUUGGUGUUGCCCACAGAUUCCUAGAUGACAUGGCCAUGCUGCCCAAAUGGUAGGAAGGCCCUGAUGGAGAAGCUGUAUAUCACAAGGCAACAUUUGAGAGCACCCAGACUCUGUCCCCAGCACCCAGAGCAUUGCAUUGGUUAAUACUGUUGGUGUUGAGCACCACCUGCAUGCUCUGCACAGGGAUCUGGGACUGGUACACACCCUGCAUCAAGCCUCACCCCACAAUGAGACAGGCAGGCAAAUGAGAAAAUUGGGCCCUGGCCCUUUCCUGUGAUUAGGUCAUUAUAAUGGGUAAAUAUUUUCCUAGAUAGACAGCUGAGAUAAAGAACUCCUGAUGUCUGAAAGGGAGUUUGAACAAAACUUGGAAGGACUAUCUCUACGUUAUAAUUCUUUAUAAUGUGCUUUUACCAAAUAAAUGCCUUUUGCCCCUAAAGUACCCAGGGAAAUGUUUCACUGAAUAGCAAGAACAGCAUCUAGUCUACAGCCAAACUGUUCACCAGCAAAUAUAUAGAAUGGAUUUAGUGACAGGUACCAAAGAUUAUUCCCAGAGGACGUUACAGCUCUACACCAUUCAGUCUAAAUAUUUACUGAGGAGUACAGAAAAGUGAAUGGUAGAGGCAGAGUCCCAGAGAUUGGCUUAGAGGAAUCUGUUUAAUAAAAGCUUGUUUCUGCAG